rnacentral:rRNA from 1 species
GACGAACGCUGGCGGCGUGCCUAAUACAUGCAAGUCGAGCGGACGGAUGGGAGCUUGCUCCCAGACCGACAGCGGCGGACGGGUGAGUAACACGUGGGCAACCUGCCUGUAAGACUGGGAUAACUCCGGGAAACCGGGGCUAAUACCGGAUAACUCUUUCCCUCACAUGAGGGAAAGCUGAAAGAUGGCAUCUCGCUAUCACUUACAGAUGGGCCCGCGGCGCAUUAGCUAGUUGGUGAGGUAACGGCUCACCAAGGCGACGAUGCGUAGCCGACCUGAGAGGGUGAUCGGCCACACUGGGACUGAGACACGGCCCAGACUCCUACGGGAGGCAGCAGUAGGGAAUCUUCCGCAAUGGACGAAAGUCUGACGGAGCAACGCCGCGUGAGUGAUGAAGGUUUUCGGAUCGUAAAACUCUGUUGUCAGGGAAGAACAAGUACCGGAGUAACUGCCGGUACCUUGGCGGUACCUGACCAGAAAGCCACGGCUAACUACGUG